CAUACAAGGCGGACUGUCAGCACCGCGCUUAACUUACACCUAUGAUGGGAAUAACCUCGGGAAACUGACACUAUACCCAAUGGGCCACAGUGCCUGCACAUGGCCUGUGGUUGAAAUGAUUUAUCGCCGUACGAUAGGACUGCGGCCUAUCAGCUUGUUGGCGAGGUAAAGGCCCACCAAGGCUAUAACAGGUACGGGCUCUGAGAGGACGGGCCCGGAGAUGGGCUACUGAGACACGGACCCAGGCCCUAUGGGGCGCAGCAGCGCGAGAAACCUUUGCAAUGUGCGAAAGCACGACAAGGUUAACCCGAGUGUCUCCUGCUAAAGGAGUCUUCUGUCAGUUGUAGAAUCACCUGCCGAAUAACGCGGUGGGCAACUUCUGCUGUCAGCCGCCGCCGGUCACACCAGCACCCUCGC
rnacentral:rRNA from 1 species